rnacentral:misc_RNA from 1 species
GCAAUGGUUAAGCACGCGCACGCACGGGCGCACGGCGGCUAAAUAAUCCCUAUCCAUAACGCUAUCGUCUCCCUCUCUCCCUCCAAUGCAGCUUUGCAAGAUCAUCGCCAUUGCAGAUGAAAAAUAGAAUGGAAAACAAAUCAAACGAACCAACGAACGAAAAUGGCUCUCGCUGACGAACACGACUCUCUCUCUCUCGACCAUCGGCAACGACAGCAAUCUGCUGCCGGCCGGCGUCUCGUUGUCACUCGAUCGGGCGGCCCUCCUUCAGAUAGCCCCCAUCAUGACCGCGCCGACCUGCACGCCCCUCCGGCCGGCGGCCACCUGACAAAGCUCCCCGCCUCCACCGCCGGCGCCGCCACCACCACCUGCCGCCUCGGGGCCGUCGCCGUCGUUGGCGAAGCGCAGGCGGAGGCGUCCGCCGUCGCGCUCGGCGCGGAACACAACGCGGCGCUCACGCUCG